UGUAUCAUUGGCAUCACCAUCAUCUAUCUUUUUCUCUCUCUCUCUUCAACCAACAACUGCAAAAUCCCUUCUUUCUCUUAACCAACAACUGAAAAAGUUUUUUUCUUUUUUUAACCCUUUAAGCUUACAUGAGAAGAAGAAGAGCUUAAAAAACAGAGCAAAGCAAAAAAGAUCAAGAUUUGAGGUGAAAUGGGUAAGUAUAUGAGGAAGAGGAAGACAAAAGCUACUGGUGAAGUUGUUGCUGUUUUGGAUGUAAGUCCUUUGGGUGUUCGUACAAGAGCUAAAACCCUAGCUUUGAAGCGAUUGCAGAAAUCGAGCUCAGGUGGCGGUGAUGGUGGUGAUGUGGGUGGGGGAUGUUAUCUGCAGCUGAGGAGCAGGCGGCUGGAGAAACCCUUGGUGGGGUUUGAAGGGAAAAGACGGAAACACCCUUUGAAGGAAUCGAAAAGACAGAAUCGGAGUUUGAGGGUGAGGGAAAUGAAGGGGCAAUCUUGGAAUUCUGGGUCUGGAGAGGGUGAAGAGGAGAAGAAGGAACAAGUACAGGAAAAUCAGAAGGAAAUUGACAACAAUGGAAGCUUUGAAGUUGAAAACUUGCUGGAAUUUGAUGGUAGAGAGAGGACGACCAGGGAGAGCACACCUUGUAAUUUGAUCAGGGACCCGGAUAGCAUACCAACCCCUGGUUCCAGUACAAGAGCUAACAAUGCUAGCGAAGGUAACGGCAGAGAGCCAACUUCAGCGCAAAGAAUUAUCCCAACAGCUCAUGAAAUGAACGACUUCUUUGCUGGUACAGAAGAGAAGCAGCAGAAACAAUUCAUUGAGAAGUACAACUUUGA
rnacentral:misc_RNA from 1 species